ACACUUCAGACUUCUGCUCAGUGAUGUGUCAUGGUCAGAAAUUUGCAGAUGACACAGGCUGUUUUGGAGGUAGGAAGGUUCAGGGUUUAAGUAGUCAUCAUCAUGGGCUCAUCCGAUUAGAAUGAGACUAAGCAGUCAUCAGUCAUUUGCAGGUUUUGUCGUUUUAUUGGAUAAUGGAAAUGAAAUGUAAAGGAAAGACACAUGGACUGCUAUCUCUGAAAGGAAAUAGAGUAUGAUUUAAGUAACUCAACAUAAUACGCGAACUCAGGAGACUCAAAGAGAAACUCACCUCAGCUGCCGCCCCAUGUGGGAGUGAAGAAAGAGUGAGGGGUAGGUGAGUGCAGUCCUUAUAUAACGAGUGACAGGUGAGUGCAAUUAAGGCCAAGCACCACCCCCAAUCAAAGGUGAGGAAAAGAAACGAGGUGCAUCUGGUGAAGUGAAUGUGCUGAAAGGUGAGCCUUUACAACACAGGCAUCAUGGGGUGUAUAAGGAAUGGCAGAGAAGAUGAGAAGAGAAAUCUGGUGAGUGACUUUGUCUGGAGCCAGAGGAACCUCCUGCAGCUCAACACCCCAAAGAACAAGGAGUUUAUCGUAAACUAUGGAAAGUCCACACCAUGUCAUUGACCAGUUCUUUUUAGUUUUUAUUCUUCCUAUAGUGUGUGUGUGUGACUAUGAAAAUCCCUGUGUUUUUCUCACAAAUGUACUUGAUAAUGAGGGUGGGAAGCUGCAGCAAUGCCCCCAGAAGCGUGGGGGCAGACAGAGUUGGAAACAGGACAACCGCACCAUCAGCCAGUCAUCAACCAGUUCUGACAGAGGGAAAUGAGGUUGAGGUUGUGGGAAACUACAAGUAUUUUGGAGCUUAGCUAGACAACACACUGGACUGGUUUUGCAACACGGCUCACAGGAUAACAUCUGCAGGAAACUCCUGUGGAUGUUCUACCAGUCUGUGGUCACCAGUGGGAUCUUUUACGUGGUGGUGUGCUGGGGGAGAAGUACAUCCAGAGAGGACUCCUGCAGGUUGGAGAAGCUGAUCAGACAGGCUGGCUCUGUGGUUGGCAUGAAGUUGGACUCUCUGCUGACAGGCAGAGAAGAGGACCCAUGGACAAACAUCUGAAUAUUAUGGAUAAUGUCAGCCACCCUCUGCACACUGUCAUCAACGCACAGAGAAGCCUGAUCAGUGACAGGCUGCUCCUCCCCAGCAGGACUAAAAGCCCCUUUGGAAGGAGUAGCAGCAGGGGGAGGAGAGGGGUGGAUGAUGUAGACGCAGUGACCUAAACAAACACACUGACAGUUGGUGACUGUAUUACACUUUAAUUCCUGGAUUUAUUGCCUUGUAAAUUCUAUUGCUGCUGACAUUUUAUUCUUAAUCAUUUGUACCUGUGUUUUUUUCUUAUUUGUAUUUAAGGUGUUGUGCUCCUGGAACCAUGAUUUCCCCGUGGGGACCUCCCCAAGGGAUUAUUGCAACAGAUGGUCGCCCCUCUCCGAGCCUGGUUCUGCUGGAGGUUUCUUCCUGUUAAAAGGCUUUAAACAAGUUUAUUCCUUCUCAUUGUUGCCUGUUUCAGUUUAAAUGUUGUUUUCAAUAAAUUGCAUGCUCAAAAAAA